GUGCCAGCAGCCGCGGUAAUACGUAGGGUGCGAGCGUUGUCCGGAAUUAUUGGGCGUAAAGGGCUCGUANGCGGCCUGUCGCGUCUGCUGUGAAAGCACAGGGCUUAACCCUGGGUCUGCAGUGGAUACGGGCAGGCUUGAGUCCGGCAGGGGAGACUGGAAUUCCUGGUGUAGGCGGUGAAAUGCGCAGAUAUCAGGAGGAACACCGGUGGCGAAGGCGGGUCUCUGGGCCGGUACUGACGCUGAGGAGCGAAAGCGUGGGGAGCGAACAGGAUUAGAUACCCUGGUAGUCC
rnacentral:rRNA from 1 species